GAUGAACGCUAGCUGGAGGCUUAAUACAUGCAAGUCGAGCGGGAUUGGUAGCAAUACCAUGAGAGCGGCGCACGGGUGAGUAACGCGUACACGACCUACCUCUGACAGGGGGAUAGCCCUGGGAAACUGGGAUUAAUACCGCAUAUUAUUCUGAUUAAUAAAGGAUUGGAAUGAAAGUUCAGGCGGUCAGAGAUGGGUGUGCGUCUGAUUAGCUAGUUGGUAGGGUAACGGCCUACCAAGGCGAUGAUCAGUAGGGGGCGUGAGAGCGUGGUCCCCCACACGGGUACUGAGACACGGACCCGACUCCUACGGGAGGCAGCAGUAAGGAAUAUUGGACAAUGGCCGAAAGGCUGAUCCAGCCAUCCAGCGUGCAGGAAGAAGGCCCUAUGGGUUGUAAACUGCUUUUAUCAGGGAAUAAACCUCUGGAUUCACUCCGGAGCUGAAGGUACCUGAAGAAUAAGCACCGGCUAACUCCGUGCCAGCAGCCGCGGUAAA
rnacentral:rRNA from 1 species